GAUGAACGCUGGCGGCGUGCCUAAUACAUGCAAGUCGAGCGAACAGAUAAGGAGCUUGCUCCUUUGACGUUAGCGGCGGACGGGUGAGUAACACGUGGGUAACCUACCUAUAAGACUGGAAUAACUCCGGGAAACCGGGGCUAAUGCAGGAUAACAUGUUGAACCGCAUGGUUCUACAGUGAAAGGCGGCUUUGCUGUCACUUAUAGAUGGACCCGCGCCGUAUUAGCUAGUUGGUGAGGUAACGGCUCACCAAGACAACGAUACGUAGCCGACCUGAGAGGGUGAUCGGCCACACUGGAACUGAGACACGGUCCAGACUCCUACGGGAGGCAGCAGUAGGGAAUCUUCCGCAAAGGGCGAAAGCCUGACGGAGCAACGCCGCGUGAGUGAUGAAGGUCUUCGGAUCGUAAAACUCUGUUAUUAGGGAAGAACAAAUGCGUAAGUAACUGUGCGCGUCUUGACGGUACCUAAUCAGAAAGCCACGGCUAACUACGUG
rnacentral:rRNA from 1 species